rnacentral:rRNA from 1 species
GACAGAGGUCCCGAGCGUUAGGCGGAAUCACUGGGCUUAAAGCGUGUGUAGGCGGACUUGUAAGUACCUUGUGAAAUCCCACGGCUUAACCGUGGAACUGCUCGGUAUACUGCGAGUCUUGAGCCACUUAGGGGCUACCGGAACAAAUGGUGGAGCGGUGAAAUGCGUAGAUAUCAUUUGGAACGCCAAUGGUGAAAACAGGUAGCUGGGAGUGUGCUGACGCUGAGACACGAAAGCCAGGGGAGCAAACGGG